rnacentral:rRNA from 1 species
UCAAUGGAGAGUUUGAUCCUGGCUCAGGACGAACGCUGGCGGCGUGCCUAAUACAUGCAAGUCGAGCGGACCGAAUGGAA